ensembl:rRNA 5S_rRNA 5S ribosomal RNA
GUCUCCGGCCAUACCACCCUGAACGCACCUGAUCUCGUCUGAUCUCAGAAGCUAAGCAGAGUCAGGCCUGCUUAAUACUUAGAUGGGAGUCUAAUAAGUCGAUGUCCUGGACCUUGUGACA